rnacentral:lncRNA from 1 species
CUUUUGCUCUUUGAGGGGAUACAUACCUUCCUUGCUUUUUGAAAUUUUAUGAGGAGAAUGAGAUGCUCUUCUUUUUCUUUUCUCUCAGGUGGGUAUCUUGUACCCCUAAUUCUACUAUCGGACACUUGUCCAUUUUUACCUCUCGUCUCACUUUUUCUUUUCUUUCGAGGUUCCGGGCACUUGCCCCUUUUUAUUUCCUCGUAUCUUCUUUUUUAUUAGAGCACUCAUCUCUUGAGAUAAUAUAGCAAGUGGUAGUAACAAGAUAACUUGAGCAUUUAUUUCACAGGGAAAAACAGAAAUGUUUUUGGCUAUUCUCUCCCGUAUUAGGAGUAGAAUAUUUUUGGGUGGUUCUGGAGAUGGAAAUGAGUGGAUAUAUGUGGAUGGUACUUCCGGAGUAGAAGUAGCAUAUGUGAGUGAACGUGCAAGUGAAUCUUGAUUUUAACCACAUGACAAGCUCCUAAGGGUCUAC